rnacentral:rRNA from 2 species
ACGGGGUGCAGCAGGCGCGAAACCUUUGCAAUGUGCGAAAGCACGACAAGGUUAAUCCGAGUGUCUCCUGCUAAAGGAGUCUUUUGUCAGUUGUAGAAUCACUGAUGAAUAAGGGGUGGGCAAGUUCUGGUGUCAGCCGCCGCGGUAAAACCAGCACCUCGAGUGGUCAGGAGGUUUAUUGGGCCUAAAGCAUCCGUAGCCGGUUGCAUAAGUUUUCGGUUAAAUCUAUGCGCUUAACGUGUAGGCCGCCGAAAAUACUGUGCAGCUAGGGAGUGGGAGAGGUACACGGUACUCGAUAGGAAGGGGUAAAAUCCUUUGAUCUAUUGAUGACCACCUGUGGCGAAGGCGGUGUACCAGAACACGUUCGACGGUGAGGGAUGAAAGCUGGGGGAGCAAACCGGAUUAGAUACCCGGGUAGUCCCAGCUGUAAACGAUGCAGACUCGGUGAUGCAUUGGCUUGUGGCCAAUGCAGUGCCGCAGGGAAGCCGUUAAGUCUGCCGCCGGGGAAGUACGUACGCAAGUAUGGAACUUAAAGGAAUUGGCGGGGGGGCAC